AUCCUUGUCCCUUCAAGGAUAUCCGAUAAAAUUGGAACGAUAUUGAGAAAAUUAGCAUGUUCCCUGCACAAGGAUGGCACUUAUAAGAUGCCACAUAAAUCACGUCUAA
rfam:Prunus persica cultivar Lovell chromosome G4, whole genome shotgun sequence.